UGCAUAUCAAUAAGCGGAGGAAAAGAAAAUAACAAUCGAUUCCCCUAGUAACUGCGAGUGAAGAGGGACAAGCUCAAAUUUUAAAUCUGUCGGGUUCUACCUGACCGAGUUGUAAUUUGAAGAGGCGUUUUCUGUGUUUCUGAUCAGUCCAAGUCCUUUGGGAUAAGGCAUCACGGAGGGUGAGAAUCCCGUUCGGUUGAUCAGAUUCGCUUUACGAUACGUCAUCAAAGAGUCAAGUUGUUUGGGAUUGCAGCUUAAAAUGGGAGGUAAAUUUCUCCUAAGGCUAAAUAUUGGCGAGAGACCGAUAGCGAACAAGUACCGUGAGGGAAAGAUGAAAAGUACUUUGAAAAGAGAGUUAAACAGCACGUGAAAUUGUUGAAAGGGAAACGAUUGAAGCCAGUCGUACCUGCGGAUAAUCAGCCUUUUGGGCGUGAUUAUGUGGUUCGUGAGGAGUUAAACCCCUCAUGUGUUGCAUAUUCGUGCACUUUGGGUGUACUUGCCCGUGUGGUUGGUUAACAUCAAUUUUGGACGUCAUAAAAUGACUGGAGGAAUGUAGCUUCGAUCUCGUAUCGAAGUGUUAUAGCCUUCGGUAGAUGUGAUGAUCGGGAUUGAGGAUUGCAACGGAUACCCUUCGGGGCUACCUGUCUGAUCUCUGAUCGUUGCUCUGGUGCCGAAAGCGUGCUUACGGUUAUCAAAGUCGAUGGUCAAUAGGUUAGAACGGGUUAAAUUCGUUAAGGAUGUUGACGUA
rnacentral:rRNA from 1 species